AACGUUCCGAUUCGGAGAACAAUUUAGUGUAAAAAUCCUUCAUAAGUGUUAUUCCUCGUUCCGAGAAUGUUCCGGUUCUGGGAACAGGAACUUCUGGGAACAGGAACGAGAACAUGGCUACUAAGGUCUGCAGGCAGCAGCUCUCCAUCUAUGGAGAUAGAUCGGCGAGGUGGGGGGAGGGAAGAAGAGGCGGCGAGAGUUUCUGUCGCGCGAGAAACGUCGGGAGGCGGCGCGGCAGAGGAAAUGACGGGCGAAUCGAUCGACAAGGGCAAGAUCGAUCGGCAGAUGAAAGGGCAAUACGGGAUAAACUGGUGACUUGGCUCAGUCCCGCGACACUGACGCUCCACCAGAUAACAUGGGAUGAUCCUGCCUCCUUGCUACAGAAAGAUUGUGGCAUAUGAAGCAUGCGGCCGACUCCCUGUUGUUUUGAUUUGUUACUUUUGUCCAACGGAUGCUUUUGUCUCCAUUUAUUUAGGCAGUGCAUCCAGUCAGAAAUCUGAUAGACUUGAACAGAAGAUUGAGUGUAGGUCGCCGGUGCUUUGGCUACUUCCAUCCAGCCAUACCAGGUCAGAUUGACUGUUGCUUGCUAAUUGUGGCUUUCUGCACUUCUAGAGUAUUACUGCUUACUGUUGAUGCUGCAGCCUGGCCAGUUGUUGGAGGGCAGGAACCAACCGAUUCAUUGCAUUGGUCCUGCUCUUAGUCUUCGUCUGCUCAGUUGAUGACAAUGGGCGUGUCCUGCAGGCCUUUACAUGCUCCUGUUGUUGCUAUCUCUCUUACUGAUCGAUUUUGUGGUUCAGGUUUUAGAGCCUUAGCUGUCUUAAUAGGAUAUACCUAGCCUACUAAUUUUCUUAUGGUGUGCAAAUAGUGACGCUCCAACCAUACGUCUGAAAUGAUUGCAUAUACGGGCAGAGAAAUCUCCAGAAAAUGUUAUUUUUUCUCUGUUUUAUCCUCCUAUGCAAAUAAAAUACGAGAAGAAUUCUACUGUUACUACUUGCAGUGGCUACCCACUAGCAACAGCAGGCUUGUUUUGCCUUAUAGUGUGCUUGAUUUUGGCAUGCAACAUCUUCCUUAAAGUACUGUAAUUCUUUAUAUAUAUUAUACUUUUGGGGGGGAAAUAGGUUGUUUGAUCAGAUUGAGUUUAGAGAUUUGUUCAAGGAAAAAUGAUACUUGCCAUGAGGAAAUCCAUCAGCAUUAAAGAGGUCCGUUUUCAUGAGGCUUCAAAGGUUGCUUGGUUCACUGACUGUGUUUGGUUUGGCGUGGUACAGCCAGCAGAGGCCGUCUGAUGAUCUCGUGAAGUUUGCACAUAGCAUGGACUUGAAGUUCCGACGUGUCUAUUGGGAUAUGUCAAGGCAAUUUAUAUAUUCACUUGUUUGUCUAUUGAGGUUUGCAUGUCUUUGUCAGUAUAAAAAAUGAAUCCUGAAUCAAUGUAAUCAUCCCUGAAAAAACAAAUGCGUGAAUCUAUCACACUCGGUUCCAUCACUGCAGCAGCCGGCAGGUCAAGCUAAAUGCGCGGGCCAGCGCACCCUCACUGUCAUUUCCCUACGGCAGAGAAAUUGGGCAUUCGCUUGACCCCAGAUUGUGGAGCUGAUAACACCCUCAAUGCCCUGAAAGUUGCUGUUGCGUCCUCUAUAGGAAGUGGACCCGCUGGAAAGUCUUAGUGAUUGGGUGAGAU